CAGCGUCUAAUCAAUAGUCUUUUUGAGCACGACUGUUUGGCUGUUAACAUUGGUUUUAGAUGGUAGUUGGAGGAGAGUGAUGGAACGAGGGAGGAAAUGGAGACAGGAGGAGGCAAGGUGCGUCCAGCGGCAGCACAUGGCGAGAGGUUGGACUGUGCACUCCCUCCCUAACCCACUGACACAAUGGGGCUCUGUGUGGCGAACCUGAGGAAUGCUGAAAGAUGGCAGGACUCUGGAGAAGAGAGGAUGGAGCUGUGGAGACAGUGUACAUCAGCUCUCUAAAAGAAAAAUGGAGCAACAGUGAAUUGUACAUUUUUGCAAUCAGCAAAGGUC